UUUUUUUUUUUUUUUGCAGAUCACAGAACUUUUAUUUAGAUGGAAUCACUGCGAAUUACAUAGAAGCUACCAGCCUAAGCCAAAACCCACGAGGUUCAUGUGAACUUACAGUUACACAAAUAAGAAACAAAUGGUACAUCCGAAACCAUAAGGAAAUAUUUCUCCAACUGCUCGCAUUGCUCUCUCACUGUUGUUAGGGGAUCCACUAAUUCCUCCUCUUCCUCUUCCUCCUCCUCAGGAUCUCCGGAUUCGGUAAGCAUCUUUUGCUCGUCCUCCAGUCCCAUGUCUGGCUACGGUUCUAGAUUUAACACGAGCAGCAACAGCGGCACCUCAAUUUUUGUAUUUUUAGUAGAGAUGGGGUUUCACCAUGUUGGCCAGGCUGGUCUCAAACUCUUGGCCACAGGUGCUCCGCCACUGAAAGUGCUGGGAUUACAGGUGUGAGCCACCGUUCCCGGCCAGAAACUUCUCUUUAUCCUGAGCUCUUAACAAUCAUCUCCUAUAAUUUCCUGAAAGUAUUAAAGUGUCACUUUCAGCUGGGCGAGGUGGCUCAAGCCUGUAGUCCCAGCACUUUGGGAGGCCGAGGAGGGCGGAUCACUUGAAUCCAGAAGUUCAAGAUCAGGCUGGGCAACAUGGUGAAACCGCAUCUCUACCAAAAAUACAAAAAUUAGUCAGGUGUGGUGGUGGGCCCCUGUAGUCCCAGCUAUUUGGGAGGCUGAUGUGGGAGGAUAGUUUGAGCCUGGGAGGCAGAGAUCACAGUGAGCAGAGAUCAUGUCACUGUACUCCAGUCUGGGUGACAGAGAGAGACCCUGUCUUAAAAUAAAAUAAAAUAAAAAAUAAAGUGUUGCUUUCAUAUUUAAUAUCUUGACUUUUUUUUUUUUUUUGAGCUGGAGUCUCGCUCUGUCACCUGGCUGGAGAGCAGUGGUGCGAUCUUGGCUCACUGCAACCUCUACCUCCCAGGUUCAAGCGAUCCUCCUGUCUCAGCCUCCCAAGUUUGCUCACUAGUUCAUCCUUUGCCCCCAGUCAGCAAAGUCAUGUGUGUGGUGCCUCAAGUUUCCGUAGUGGUGUGGAUCUGCAGUGGGGCUGCUUUUCCUGACCUAUUGGCCAGGCUUACCUUUCUGUAAUUAAUUGUUUGUUUGUUUUUUGAGACAGAGUCUUGCUCUGUCACCCCGGCUGGAGUUUAGUGGCGUGUUCUCGGCUCACUGCAACCUCCACCUUCCAGACUCAAGCGAUUCUUGUGCCUCACCCUUCCGAGUACCUGAGACUACAGGCAUGCGCCACCACGCCCAGCUAAUGUUUUGUAUUUUUAGUAGAUACAGGGUUUCACCAUGUUUGACCAGGCUGGUCUCAAACUCCUGAGCUCAGGCAAUCUGCCCGCCUUGGCCUCCCAAAGUGCCAGGAUUACAGGCGUGAGGCACUGCACCUGGCCACCUUUCUGUAAUUAAUACUGAUAGUUUGUGUAAUACAUUUUAUUUUUCCAUGGAAAACACGCACACACACACGCACGCACACUACUGUCAAGAAAAACUCUGAGGCUCAUUCACCCAGAUUUGUGAUUGUUAACUGGUGUUAAAAUGAUGUCACCUGGAGGCUUUUUUGAAUUUAUCAGGACUCACACUUAAUGCAAAAGGAAGAAAGCUCUCUCAGGUGAGACAGCCAUGGAGUGGGAGGGUGCAGGAGGAGGCCAACAUCAUCAGCAAGGAUCCCCUGCAAACAUGCCGCCCAGGAGGCAAGGCCUGUUUGGCAUGUAGACCAGUCCUAGUCCACAGGCAUGAUCCACCGCACCUGGCCUGAGACUCCAUCUCCACAAAAAAAAAAAAAAAAAAAAAUUAGCCAGGCAUGGAGUGGGCGCACCUCCUCGGGAGGAUGAGGUAGGAGGAUAGGUUGAGGCCAGGAGUUCAAGGCUGCAAUGAGCUAUGGUGGUGUCACUGCACUCCAGCCUGGGUGACAGAGCAAAAUCUUGUCUCCAGAAAUAAAUAAAUUAAAAUAAAAUUGCAUAAGAUUAUAUUCUAAGUAGGCCGGGCGCAGUGGCUCACACCAGUAAUCCCAGCACUUUGGGAGAGUGAGGCGGGUGGAUCACGAAGUCAGGAGAUCAAGACCAUCCUGGUUAACAUGGUGAAAUCCCGUCUCUACUAAAAAUACAAAAAAUUAGGCGGGCGUGGUGACCGCACCUGUAGUCCCAGCUACUCGGGAGGCCGAAGCAGGAGAAUCGCUUGAAAUGGGAGGCAGAGGUUGCAGUGAGCUGAGAUUGUGCCACUGCACGCCAGCCUGGGCAACAGAGCGAGACGCUGUCUCAAAAAAAAAAAAGUUAUAUCGGAAGUACUGCCUGAAACUAUUCAGUCCAGAAGUCAGAAGCUUUGGGCUUGGGCCAAAUCUAGCAUACUGCCUAUUUUACUGAUGGCCUGGGAACUAAGAAUGGCUUUUAUAUCUUUUAAAAGGCUAAAAAAAAAAAAUGACCGGCGCAGUGGCUCAUGUCUGUAAUCCCAACACUUUGGAAGUUCAAAGUGGGCGGAUCACCUGAGGUCAGGAGUUCAAGACCAGCCUGACCAACAUGGUGAAACCUCGUCUCUACCAAAAAUACAAAAAUUACCCAGGUGUGGCCAGGCGCGGUGGCACAUGCCUGUAAUCCCAGCACUUUGGGAGGCUGAGGCGGGUGGAUCACGAGGUCAGGAGAUCAAGACCAUCCUGGCUAACACAG
rnacentral:lncRNA from 1 species